rnacentral:rRNA from 1 species
UCUGGUUGAUCCUGCCAGUAGUCAUAUGCUUGUCUCAAAGAUUAAGCCAUGCAUGUCUAAGUACAAGCCUCACUAAGGUGAAACCGCGAAUGGCUCAUUAAAUCACACCUAAUCUACUGGAUAGUAAAAAGUUACUUGGAUAACUGCGGUAAUUCUGGAGCUAAUACAUGCACAAAGCCGCGACUCACGAAGCGGCGCUUUUAUUAGAUCAAAACCAAACGGCUUCGGCUGUACUCAUGGUGACUCUGAAUAACUUUGGGCUGAUCGCAUAGCCUUGAGCUGGCGACAUAUCCUUCGAAGGUGUGCCCUAUCAACUUUCGACUGUGGCAUAGACGCCCACAGUGGUUUUGACGGGUAACGGGGAAUCAGGGUUCGAUUCCGGAGAGGGAGCCUUAAAAACGGCUACCACAUCUAAGGAAGGCAGCAGGCACGCAAAUUACCCAAUGACCGAAGGUCGAGGUAGUGACGAAAAAUAACGAUAGAGGACUCAUCCGAGGCCCUCUAAUUGGAAUGAGUACACUUUAAAACCGUCCCCGAGGAUCUAUUGGAGGGCAAGUCUGGUGCCAGCAGCCGCGGUAAUUCCAGCUCCAAUAGCGUAUAUUAAAGUUGUUGUGGUUAAAAAGCUCGUAGUUGGAUCUCAACAGCCUUGAAGCGGUUAACUUUGUAGUUUUACUGCUUUAUAGGCUGUGCUUUUGCUGGAGGUUUAGGGGUGCUCUUGAUCGAGUGUCUCUGGAUGCCAGCAGGUUUACUUUGAAAAAAUUAGAGUGCUCAAAGCAGGCUAAAAUGCCUGAAUAUUCGUGCAUGGAAUAAUAGAAUAGGAUGUCGAUCCUAUUUUGUUGGUUUUCGGGACUCGACAUAAUGAUAAAUAGGGACAGUCGGGGGCAUUUGUAUUCAAACGACAGAGGUGAAAUUCUUGGACCGUUUGAAGACAAACUACUGCGAAAGCAUUUGCCAAGAAUGUUUUCAUUAAUCAAGAACGAAAGUUAGAGGUUCGAAGGCGAUUAGAUACCGCCCUAGUUCUAACCAUAAACGAUGCCAGCUAGCGAUCUGCCUGCGU